GAGUGGCGCACGGGUGAGUAGCGCGUGGGAACCUGUCCUUUUGUGGGGGAUAACCGAGGGAAACUUCGGCUAAUACCGCAUGCGCCGGGGAAAGAUUUAUCGCAGAGGGAGGGGCCCGCGUCGGAUUAGGUGGUUGGUGGGGUAACGGCCUACCAAGCCGAUGAUCCGUAGCUGGUCUGAGAGGAUGAUCAGCCACACUGGGACUGAGACACGGCCCAGACUCCUACGGGAGGCAGCAGUGGGGAAUAUUGGACAAUGGGCGCAAGCCUGAUCCAGCAAUGCCGCGUGAGUGAUGAAGGCCUUCGGGUUGUAAAGCUCUUUGGGCGGGGACGAUGAUGACGGUACCCGCAGAACAAGCCCCGGCUAACUUCGUGCCAGCAGCCGCGGUAAUACGAAGGGGGCGAGCGUUGUUCGGAAUUACUGGGCGUAAAGGGCGCGUAGGCGGCCAUUCAAGUCAGGCGUGAAAGCCCCGGGCUCAACCCGGGAACGGCGCUUGGGACUGGGUGGCUGGAGUUCGGGAGAGGAGCGUGGAAUUCCCAGUGUAGAGGUGAAAUUCGUAGAUAUUGGGAAGAACACCGGUGGCGAAGGCGGCGCUCUGGACCGAUAC
rnacentral:rRNA from 1 species